AGUGAACGCUGGCGGUAGGCCUAACACAUGCAAGUCGAACGGCAGCACAGGAGAGCUUGCUCUCUAGGUGGCGAGUGGCGGACGGGUGAGGAAUACAUCGGAAUCUGCCCAGUCGUGGGGGAUAACGUAGGGAAACUUACGCUAAUACCGCAUACGACCUUCGGGUGAAAGAGGGGGAUCGCAAGACCUCUCGCGAUUGGAUGAGCCGAUGUCGGAUUAGCUAGUUAGCGGGGUAAUGGCCCACCAAGGCGACGAUCCGUAGCCGGUCUGAGAGGAUGAUCAGCCACACUGGAACUGAGACACGGUCCAGACUCCUACGGGAGGCAGCAGUGGGGAAUAUUGGACAAUGGGCGCAAGCCUGAUCCAGCCAUACCGCGUGGGUGAAGAAGGCCUUCGGGUUGUAAAGCCCUUUUGUUGGGAAAGAAAUCUUUCAGGCUAAUACCCUGGGAGGAUGACGGUACCCAAAGAAUAAGCACCGGCUAACUUCGUG
rnacentral:rRNA from 1 species